CAGCAGCCGCGGUAAUACAGAGGGUGCAAGCGUUAAUCGGAAUUACUGGGCGUAAAGCGCGCGUAGGUGGUUCGCCAAGUUGGAUGUGAAAUCCCCGGGCUCAACCUGGGAACUGCAUCCAAAACUGGCGAGCUAGAGUAUGGUAGAGGGUGGUGGAAUUUCCUGUGUAGCGGUGAAAUGCGUAGAUAUAGGAAGGAACAUCAGUGGCGAAGGCGACCACCUGGACUGAUACUGACACUGAGGUGCGAAAGCGUGGGGAGCAAACAGGAUUAGAUACCCGAGUAGUCCCUGUCUCUUAUAC
rnacentral:rRNA from 1 species